rnacentral:tRNA from 1 species
GCCUGCCCAGCUCAGUCGGUAGAGCAUGUGACUCUUGAUCUCGGGGUCGUGAGUUCGAGUCCCACGUUGGGUG